UCUGAGCCCCAGGCCGCGAUCCCCACCCGCCUCUCCCUGGCGCACUUCCCCGGUGCCAGGUCGACGCGGUUGGGAAUCGGGGUCGGGGGACCGGCCCCG
rnacentral:ncRNA from 1 species